UAUUUUUUUUAUCUGCAAACAGCGUAUGCAGCUUUUUGCUUUUGCUAUGAGGCGAAUCCAACAAAGGACACCAUCCAUCCUCAUCUCCACUGUGUCUGUGCUGCUUCAGAGUGCAUCCGGUCCUUCCACAGACACUACGGGGAGAGCUUUGAGCACAGCAUCCCCGAAAACGGCUCCCUGCUGGAGUUCUCCCCGCGCGGCGCUCCACACGCGGCGUCGCCCAUCGUGCUUUGGAACGAGACGGACCCCGAGACCAGCAGCGCGAGGCGAGGCCGGCUGCUGCACAGCAGGAGGGUGUGGGUGGCUGAGAGGGUGACGCAGGCCGACCAGGGCAACUACACGGUGAGAGACGUCCAGGGCAACGUGCUGUCCCACCGGCUGCUCAUCGUCCGAGGGCACUCCUUCAACGUCACCCGCUUCACCAAGGAGUCUCUAAAUCUGCCCCUCUUUCUUCCUAUUCCUCACGUCCACCUCAUUUUUAUUCCUACCCGACACCCUGAUGAAUACUCCGCGGGCCCCUUCGACCCCAAGCCCCCUCGGGGCGCUGUGCAGCUCAUUCGCGAGGGCCACAUAACGGACUACGACAUGCGCUACAGGGGCCUCAUCUCCCUGGGCAGGAACGGUUCCCUCAACGAGGUGGUCAUAUCGAGGCUGACCUCGCGGCACGACGGCGUGUAUGAGAUCAGAGACGACGACGGCAACUUAGUGUCGUCCACGCUGCUGCAGGUGAUCGAGAAGGGAGGCCGGUGGCGAGCGCUUCUCAAGUCCAUCACCGUCCCAUCGGGCAUGUUUGUGUCACUGGCUGGCUUCAUCCUGUUCAUGAAGCGCUACCCAAACUGCAGCUUGUCCCAGAUCAUCACCGGCCUCAGAACAAACCGCACGCCUGCAGCCAACCCUCCGAGGGUCAACAUCCAGGACUACAGCCAACCCGUAUCUGAGCCCUCUAGCUACUACAGUCACGCUCAGCAACCAGGAACUCCAAGGAAGUGGACCCCAAGAACCAGUCCAGCUCACGCUAGUUACAGUCCGGUCAUGAUAGGAAGUCCAAGAACUGAAACCCAGCAAGCAUACAGAGCAGCGGCUAGGAGCUCCCCUAGUCACGCUUCAGCCUCUGGGGUAACGUAGCAUUUUAUUCAAUUCCUGACUACUUGUACGUCUCAUAUUAAAAUAUGUUUUUAACCGUGUGUCUUUAUUUCAUCACAGGUUGAAAACUCUAUUGAGGAAGAUAAACAGAUUUCCUUCUCGGUGUCUGGUGCUUCCAACUGCCUUCAGUCGUCUGAGGACUGCAUUCAGUUCCAGAUCAAUAGGGAUGGUAAUGAAGAAAAGAGGAGCAGUUCCCAAGGAUUUUCCACGCUGCCACUAGACGAGGACACAUCUGGACUGUGCAGUGUUUACACAUCGGAGAAACUGAACUUCUUAUGAGACAAAUAACUGAAGCUGGAACAAGAGAGGAAGAAAUAAAUGUUGGAGAAACUCCA
rnacentral:lncRNA from 1 species